UACAGAGGUCUCAAGCGUUGUUCGGAAUUACUGGGCGUAAAGGGUGCGUAGGCGGUCCGCUAAGUUAGAUGUGAAAACUCUGGGCUCAACCCAGAGCCUGCAUCUAAUACUGACGGGCUAGAGUUCUGGAGGGGGUAGCGGAAUUCCUGGUGUAGCGGUGAAAUGCGUAGAUAUCAGGAGGAACACCGGUGGCGAAGGCGGCUACCUGGACCGGCAUUGGACGCUGAGGCGCGAAAGCCAGGGGAGCAAACGGG
rnacentral:rRNA from 1 species